rnacentral:ncRNA from 2 species
UUGCCUGCUGCGGGAGAGAGGGGCAUGCGCCCCCGCCGAAGACGCAAACUCCCAUAAUCGCUCAGGCAACAGUACCGCAGCCCAUGG